UACGUAGGUGGCAAGCGUUGUCCGGAUUUACUGGGCGUAAAGAGCGCGCAGGCGGUCGUUCAAGUCGCGUGUGAAAGCCCCCGGCUCAACUGGGGAGGGUCACGCGAUACUGAUCGACUCGAAGGCAGGAGAGGGUAGUGGAAUUCCCGGUGUAGUGGUGAAAUGCGUAGAUAUCGGGAGGAACACCAGUGGCGAAGGCGGCUCGCUGGAUCUUUUCUGACGCUGAGGCGCGAAAGCUAGGGGAGCAAACGGG
rnacentral:rRNA from 1 species